rnacentral:rRNA from 1 species
UUUAUCGGAGAGUUUGAUCCUGGCUCAGGACGAACGCUGGCGGCGUGCCUAAUACAUGCAAGUCGAGCGGACAGAUGGGAGCUUGCUCCCUGAUGUUAGCGGCGGACGGGUGA